CCUCGUCCGUCUCGUACUCCCACAUCCACACCUGCUCCGCCUCAUCGCUACGCCAACCGUGAAGGAACAGAGCAUGCUGGAAUCUCGUCCAGGAACGGGUGGAAAACCACAUAUCGAAAAUGCACUGCAGGAGGAGAGAGAGAAUGAGGAUGUGCUGGACACAGAGAGUCUCUGUGAGGUACAGUCACCUUUAGUGUGAGAUGCUCCGUCUCCAGGAAAGAUCUCACCUUGUUGGCGAGUUUCUUGUUGAGCUCCUCGGCGAUCGCGUCGUUCAGCUGUCGGUGGAAACUCCACGGCGGAAUCC